UGCAGGUUACACCCGGAAGUUGCUCUUCGAUGAAACAUAGGACCCAGAGCAUGCAGGAGGUCCUGAACGUGUCAAAGAUGAAGCGCCCCACCUCUGCUCUCCUCAGCUGACAUAAUUUGUUGUUUGCAUCCCAAACUGGACUCCCUGUGUCCUUGGGAGUCAAGACAGGCACCAGACCGUCUGCACUAGGCUUGUGCAGCUGGGACCCCAUACAGAUAAGGAAACCAUUAUAUCUUCAUGGUCUAGCAAUUCCCAAGGGAAAAGAAUUCUGCUUUUGCCAUCACCUUGCCCCUCCCUUUUGGGAGAAGUUUUGUCCUUUUCCCAUCUUUACUGCACCUUUCUCCUCCUAUGUCAUGCCCCUUUAGGUGGAGAUUCUGGGAUCUCCUUCCUUUGUCCUAUUGUCAUAAAUAUGCAAACUUCUAUAUGGAUUGUGAAUUCUUUGGGUUCCACAUGCAUGUUCAUUUCUCUUGUAAUAAACCUAAUUUUCAUGUAA